rnacentral:rRNA from 1 species
CCCAGACUCCUACGGGAGGCAGCAGUGGGGAAUAUUGCACAAUGGGGGAAACCCUGAUGCAGCAACGCCGCGUGAGUGAAGAAGUAUUUCGGUAUGUAAAGCUCUAUCAGCAGGGAAGAAGAAGGACGGUACCUGACUAAGAAGCCCCGGCUAACUACGUGCCAGCAGCCGCGGUAAUACGUAGGGGGCGAGCGUUAUCCGGAUUUACUGGGUGUAAAGGGAGCGUAGACGGUUUUUCAAGUCUGAAGUGAAAGGCCGCGGCUCAACUGCGGAACGGCUUUGGAAACUGAGGGACUAGAGUGCUGGAGGGGCAGGCGGAAUUCCUGGUGUAGCGGUGAAAUGCGUAGAUAUUAGGAGGAACACCAGUGGCGAAGGCGGCUUACUGGACUGUAACUGACGUUGAGGCUCGAAAGCGUGGGGAGCAAACAGGAUUAGAUACCCCGGUCGAA